rnacentral:rRNA from 1 species
GGCUUUACACAUGCAGUCGACGAUGAGCCCUUCGGGGUGGAUUAGUGGCGAACGGGUGAGUAACACGUGGGCAAUCUGCCCUUCACUCUGGGACAAGCCCUGGAAACGGGGUCUAAUACCGGAUAAUACUCUGUCCCGCAUGGGACGGGGUUGAAAGCUCCGGCGGUGAAGGAUGAGCCCGCGGCCUAUCAGCUUGUUGGUGGGGUGAUGGCCUACCAAGGCGACGACGGGUAGCCGGCCUGAGAGGGCGACCGGCCACACUGGGACUGAGACACGGCCCAGACUCCUACGGGAGGCAGCAGUGGGGAAUAUUGCACAAUGGGCGAAAGCCUGAUGCAGCGACGCCGCGUGAGGGAUGACGGCCUUCGGGUUGUAAACCUCUUUCAGCAGGGAAGAAGCGAAAGUGACGGUACCUGCAGAAGAAGCGCCGGCUAACUACGUGCCAGCAGCCGCGGUAAUACGUAGGGCGCAAGCGUUGUCCGGAAUUAUUGGGCGUAAAGAGCUCGUAGGCGGCUUGUCACGUCGGAUGUGAAAGCCCGGGGCUUAACCCCGGGUCUGCAUUCGAUACGGGCUAGCUAGAGUGUGGUAGGGGAGAUCGGAAUUCCUGGUGUAGCGGUGAAAUGCGCAGAUAUCAGGAGGAACACCGGUGGCGAAGGCGGAUCUCUGGGCCAUUACUGACGCUGAGGAGCGAAAGCGUGGGGAGCGAACAGGAUUAGAUACCCUGGUAGUCCACGCCGU